rnacentral:lncRNA from 1 species
AUUGCAAAUAAACCCCUCAACUUUCACUUUAAUACACUGCCCGAACUGGGCUGAUCGCGCAGGCGGGGACCGGUCUCUCCUUCAGGGACCGGUUCCCGAAGGUCGUCCCAGCGCAGCCAGAGCUGCCGCGCGCAGUGCAACCGGUCUCUCUCUGGGGGACCGGUCUCUCGGGGACCGGUCUUUCGGGCAGGGACCGGUUCCCGAGAGCUGCUCUCUCAGGACUUAGCCGAUUUUUCGGCUGUCUCAUUUCUCACGCGUUCGGGAACCGGUCUCUCCCACCAGGGACCGGUCCCC